GUCAGGAGUUAGGAAAUGUAAGGGUGUUAAUAGCGCCUUUAUUUGACGAAGGCUCCAGAGGAAGCCACGGCUAACUCUGUGCCAGCAGCCGCGGUAAUACAGAGGUGGCAAGCGUUGUUCGGAAUUAUUGGGCGUAAAGAGCACGUAGGUGGUCCUGCAAGUCUGUUGUGAAAUCCUUCCGCUUAACGGGAGAACGGCAGCUGAUACUACAGGACUAGAGUACGGGAGGGGAGAGUGGAACUUCUGGU
rnacentral:rRNA from 1 species